rnacentral:lncRNA from 1 species
AUGACAUUUCACAUCACCCUUUCUCCACAGGACCCCAAGGAAAGGCUGCUGAUCCUGUUCCCAGAAGACCUGCUUUUCCUCUCUGUGGAUGAGGAGAGAACUACCAUCUCAUACGAGGGAAAACUCCCCUUGACUGGAAUCCAGGCAAAGGAGAAAUCCACUCUGCAGGGGAGGUUACAGCUUGAAAUUACAGGAAGCCUGACAGAACCAAUCCUUAUCAAUUGUUCCACAGCAGAAGACUAUGAAAAAUUACUCUUCCACCUACAGAAGCCAGAGAAAAACCUCACUACUGUGACACUCCAGCCACCACCAAUCGUCCCUAAGAAAUCCAGGCAACAUCAUUAGGACGUCGGCAUACACUGACAUGAAGAGGCUGCAUGAAUAUGAUCCCAAUAGAAAGUGAAGAAGCUGCACAAACGAAUAAGAGGGGAUUUGAAAUUGGAAACCGAGAGGUGAAUAAGGAGCUGCAGAUGAAUUAUUCUGUGCUGGCUGCUGUUCUGAAUGAGCCUUUGCAAUUGAUGUAGGACCUUGUGAUUCUGACCUCAGCUGUAUAUAUGCCUCAGUGAGAAAUCUUUCUCAAUUUGCUCGCUGUAUUUAUUGCCUGAUCCUUUUCAGACACUGUAAAAUACUCAGUAAUACAAAUAAAACCAUUAACCUGUGCUUAAACCA